rnacentral:rRNA from 1 species
UACGUAUGGUGCAAGCGUUAUCCGGAUUUACUGAGUGUAAAGGGAGCGCAGGCGGCACGGCAAGCCUGAUGUGAAAGCCCGCGGCCCAACCGCGGGACUGCAUUGGGAACUACCGGGCUGGAGUGCCGGAGAGGUAGGCGGAAUUCCUAGUGUAGCGGUGAAAUGCGUAGAUAUUAGGAGGAACACCAGUGGCGAAGGCGGCCUACUGGACGGUGACUGACGCUGAGGCUCGAAAGCGUGGGGAGCAAACAGG